ensembl:snRNA U6 U6 spliceosomal RNA
GUGUUUGCUUCAGCGGCACAUACACUAACAUUGGAACAAUACAGAGAAGAUUAGCAUGGCCCCUGCACAAGAACUGAAUUAGAAAACCCAUUCUUCUACACAGAGUUUU